rnacentral:rRNA from 1 species
AACGAACGCUGGCGGCAUGCCUAACACAUGCAAGUCGAACGAGACCUUCGGGUCUAGUGGCGCACGGGUGCGUAACGCGUGGGAACCUGCCCUUAGGUUCGGAAUAACUCCCCGAAAGGGGUGCUAAUACCGGAUAAUGUCUUCGGACCAAAGAUUUAUCGCCUUUGGAUGGGCCCGCGUUGGAUUAGCUAGUUGGUAGGGUAAAAGCCUACCAAGGCGACGAUCCAUAGCUGGUCUGAGAGGAUGAUCAGCCACACUGGGACUGAGACACGGCCCAGACUCCUACGGGAGGCAGCAGUGGGGAAUAAUGGACAAUGGGAGAAAGGCUGAUCCAGCAAUGCCGCGUGAGUGAUGAAGGCCUUAGGGUUGUAAAGCUCUUUUACCCGGGAUGAUAAUGACAGUACCGGGAGAAUAAGCUCCGGCUAACUCCGUG